rnacentral:rRNA from 1 species
UACGAAGGGGGCUAGCGUUGUUCGGAAUUACUGGGCGUAAAGCGCACGCAGGCGGCUCGAUAAAUUAGAAGUGAAAGCCCCGGGCUUAACCUGGGAAUUGCUUUUAAGACUGUCGGGCUAGAAUCCAGAAGAGGGUAGUGGAAUUCCGAGUGUAGAGGUGAAAUUCGUAGAUAUUGGGAAGAACACCGGUGGCGAAGGCGGCGACCUGGUCCGACACUGACGCUGAGGCGCGAAAGCGUGGGGAGCAAACAGG